ensembl:lncRNA
CAGAGCGCGAUGGUGGUACCGAGCAGUGUUUUGGGGCGCAGAAGAAGAAUUUCACAGAAAGAACUUCCUGUUGUGAAGCUAACGCCAGCACAGCAUGUGUGUCGUUUGUGUUCACGGUUUACAGAAGAUUAUUGUGUUUUCGUCUACUUGUUACCCAGGCUGACAGCAGCUUCACUGCCUCAGUCCAAACAACAUGGAGAAAAACAUUGUGUACUGCCUGCUGUGCAACAAGCCCAGCUGUUCAUUUGGAAUCACCUGAGCGGAGUGUGCCUGAAACACGGCACAGCACAGGAGAGGGAGCAAGAAGCUUCCAGAGCUAAAAGCCUCCCAGAAGCUGUUUUCCAGGGAAGGUCGACUCUGGAGCUUCUCGGAGCUGCAGGAGUUUUGCAAGGACGCAACCAUCUUGCACCAAACUCUGCAGUCGUCUUCAGAGUCGUGGCUUUAUCAUCACAGACACUCCCCAAACCUGCCCAACACAGAGGUCUGAUGAGCUUGUUGCCACUCUGGCCAGUCCAGCUGUGGCUCCGGUUGACUCGAUCCAUCCCUGAUGGAGUCUCUCAUAAAUCCUUUGGCUGGACAUUUGACUUGUCUUUAUUUUUCCUUUGUUUGAUGCUUUGCUUGGCUUUUGUUGUGUCUGAC